rnacentral:rRNA from 1 species
AGAGUUUGAUCAUGGCUCAGGAUGAACGCUAGCUACAGGCUUAACACAUGCAAGUCGAGGGGCAGCAUGGUCUUAGCUUGCUAAGGCCGAUGGCGACCGGCGCACGGGUGAGUAACACGUAUCCAACCUGCCGUCUACUCUUGGACAGCCUUCUGAAAGGAAGAUUAAUACAAGAUGGCAUCAUGAGUCCGCAUGUUCACAUGAUUAAAGGUAUUCCGGUAGACGAUGGGGAUGCGUUCCAUUAGAUAGUAGGCGGGGUAACGGCCCACCUAGUCUUCGAUGGAUAGGGGUUCUGAGAGGAAGGUCCCCCACAUUGGAACUGAGACACGGUCCAAACUCCUACGGGAGGCAGCAGUGAGGAAUAUUGGUCAAUGGGCGAGAGCCUGAACCAGCCAAGUAGCGUGAAGGAUGACUGCCCUAUGGGUUGUAAACUUCUUUUAUAAAGGAAUAAAGUCGGGUAUGCAUACCCGUUUGCAUGUACUUUAUGAAUAAGGAUCGGCUAACUCCGUGCCAGCAGCCGCGGUAAUACGGAGGAUCCGAGCGUUAUCCGGAUUUAUUGGGUUUAAAGGGAGCGUAGAUGGAUGUUUAAGUCAGUUGUGAAAGUUUGCGGCUCAACCGUAAAAUUGCAGUUGAUACUGGAUAUCUUGAGUGCAGUUGAGGCAGGCGGAAUUCGUGGUGUAGCGGUGAAAUGCUUAGAUAUCACGAAGAACUCCGAUUGCGAAGGCAGCCUGCUAAGCUGCAACUGACAUUGAGGCUCGAAAGUGUGGGUAUCAAACAGGAUUAGAUACCCUGGUAGUCCACACGGUAAACGAUGAAUACUCGCUGUUUGCGAUAUACAGCAAGCGGCCAAGCGAAAGCGUUAAGUAUUCCACCUGGGGAGUACGCCGGCAACGGUGAAACUCAAAGGAAUUGACGGGGGCCCGCACAAGCGGAGGAACAUGUGGUUUAAUUCGAUGAUACGCGAGGAACCUUACCCGGGCUUAAAUUGCAGAUGAAUUACGGUGAAAGCCGUAAGCCGCAAGGCAUCUGUGAAGGUGCUGCAUGGUUGUCGUCAGCUCGUGCCGUGAGGUGUCGGCUUAAGUGCCAUAACGAGCGCAACCCUUGUUGUCAGUUACUAACAGGUUCCGCUGAGGACUCUGACAAGACUGCCAUCGUAAGAUGUGAGGAGGGUGGGGAUGACGUCAAAUCAGCACGGCCCUUACGUCCGGGGCUACACACGUGUUACAAUGGGGGGUACAGAGGGCCGCUACCACGCGAGUGGAUGCCAAUCCCAAAAACCUCUCUCAGUUCGGACUGGAGUCUGCAACCCGACUCCACGAAGCUGGAUUCGCUAGUAAUCGCGCAUCAGCCACGGCGCGGUGAAUACGUUCCCGGGCCUUGUACACACCGCCCGU